rnacentral:rRNA from 1 species
AUUGAACGCUGGCGGCAGGCCUAACACAUGCAAGUCGAGCGGUGCUGCGGACGGGAGAGUAAUGCCUAGGAAUCUGCCUGGUCGUGGGGGAUCACGUCCGGAACCGGGCGCUAAUACCGCAUACUAGCAGAUGAGCCUGGGUCGGAUUAGCUUGUUGGUGGGGUAUAGGCCUACAAAGGCGAGGAUACGUAACUGGUCUGAGAGGAUGAUCAGUCACACUGGAACGGAGACACGGUCCAGACUCCUACGGGAGGCAGCAGUGGGGAAUAUUGGACAAUGGGCGAAAGCCUGAUCCAGCCAUGCCGCGUGUGUGAAGAAGGUCUUCGGAUUGUAAAACACUUUAAGUUGGGAAGCGGUACCAACAGAAUAAGCACCGGCUAACUUCGUGCCAGCAGCCGCGGUAAUAC